rnacentral:rRNA from 1 species
AAAUUGAAGAGUUUGAUCAUGGCUCAGAUUGAACGCUGGCGGCAGGCCUAACACAUGCAAGUCGAACGGUAACAGGAAACAGCUUGCUGUUUCGCUGACGAGUGGCGGACGGGUGAGUAAUGUCUGGGAAACUGCCUGAUGGAGGGGGAUAACUACUGGAAACGGUAGCUAAUACCGCAUAAUGUCGCAAGACUAAAGAGGGGGACCUUCGGGCCUCUUGCCAUCGGAUGUGCCCAGAUGGGA